ACAUAGGUCCCCAGAGAAUUUCAAUAUGUCUGAUGUCAAGAACGGAAAGUGAGACAGCCAGGUGGGAGGGGGUCCCUGGAGAAUCUCCAACCAGCCUGCGCACUGGGAAUGCGCACUGGAGUGAAAAUACAGAAGUUGGUGCCCUUUGCAGCAGCCAGGAGUCCGACUCCUCCUCUUCCUGUGUGGAACCUGGAAUUCAAACGGCUGGGUAGGAAGCACGCUAGCAGGGGCCUCUGGCCUUGCUGAGGGUCCCUGUUUCCCCUUUUCCUUCCUUUUCACCCAACAAAACCCUGCUUUACUCACCCUUCAAACCAUCUAUGAGCCUAAAUUGUCGUGGUCGUGGAAUGGACAAGGACCCAGUCUUUAGCUGAACUAAGGGAAAGUCCUGCUUUUUGGCGCGCAACAGGGGAGCUCAAGAAACAGGCCUCACUCACGGCAUAUGGAACUAACCACGCCCCUAACUAAGAAGGCACACCUUAGUUGCAGUUAGCACACAAUUAAAGCAACUCUCCAAGUUUUACCUUAAAGUUCAAAAUUGCUAGGAGUUGAAACUACUAGAAAUAUAUUUACAUGCAAGAGUCAAAGAAACUUUGAACUAUUUAUGGCCUUUAAUAAUUAAGUAAGGUAUACUCCUGUGAUCAAGACUUGGAGCAUAUUUGUUUCUCUCUGCCUGGUUCCUCUAGAAAUUGGAAACUAUCAGAACAGAGACCAACUCCGUUUCCCGAUCCCUUUGCAAUCUGCAUUGAACCAUGAGUCAAGUUCUUGAUAAAGGAGUGAAAAUGUGUGUGACACAUGUGCUCAUGGAUUAUUGUCCGAAGCAAGACAUGUGACCAAGCCUAACAUCAACUGGGUGAAGAGCUAUAUGUUCCUUUCUCAAGAGGCACUACAAGUGACAUGCCACUGGGCAGCCUCUCAACUCAGGAGAUACAGUGUGGAAGAUCUUAUUGAAACCACCUUUGCAAAAAUUAUAACUGAGAAAACUAUGACAAUGAAAGAGAUCUACCUGAUUCCAUCUUGCUUCUAACCUCUACGCUCUCCUAAUUUAUACCUGGGUUUAGGCAGAACUAUUUUUUGGAGGAACUUAGUUUAUAGUUUAACUUUGGAACAAAGAUGAUCACAGCCUCAUCCCAAAACAAACUCCCUUCCUGCCUGGAGGCUAGAUUGCCUUUGUGGGACUAACAAAUUAGCUACAAGAUUAGAGAUUAUGAUUUAGGAGUCAUGCAUCUGGAGGCUACAAGAUGCUGAACCUCCCCAAAUUGCUUCUGGGGAUAACAUUACUUUUGUAAAACCUGAGAUCAGUGCUUGAGAUAUUUUACAGACACUGUACUUGAUGGCUUAUUUGGUCUUGUGGCCCCCACCCAGGAAUUGACUCAGUGCAAGAGGACAGCUGGGACUCCCAAUGAUUUCAUCUCUCACCGCACCAGUCAGCACUCCCCACUGUCCAACCCCUGCCACCAAAUUAUCCUUGAAAACCUCGAUCCCCAGGUUUUCAGGGAGACUGAUUUACGUAAUAAUAAAGCUCUGGUCUCCUGCACAGCUGGCUCUGUAUGAAUUAAACUCUUUAUUACAAUUCCCCUGUCUUGAUAAAUCGGCUCUGUCUAGGCAGAGGGCAAGGAAGACCCCUUGGGCAGUUACAUUAUCUCUUUUCUUCUUAGAACAUAAGUCUUUCUCCAUUGUAUUGAAAGGUCAUUAAGAGUCUGUUCAAAUAACUCAUAUGUGAAAUAUGACAAGAAUUCCAUACUAAUAUAAUGUUAUCCAGUAAUAUUUACAGCAAAGUUACUAUUUAUGCAGUGUUUUGC
rnacentral:lncRNA from 1 species